AGAUCAGAAGUUGUCAGAUUUUCUGAGCUGAGUUAGGCAGUUGUGAGCUGUCUGACAUGGGUGCUUAACUGAACUUAGGUCCUCUGCAAGAGUCUCUCAUGCUCUUCUUCACCAAGGGGCCUCUUCCCCAGCUCCAAGAUCAACUUUUAAACUUCUGCAUGUGAGACCUUGUCGUCUUCUAUCCGUCCAUACUUUCACUUACAACAUUGUGAUGGUUUGUAUAUCCUUGGACCAGGGAGUGGCACCAUCUGAAGGUGUGGCCUUGUUGGAAUAGGUGUGACCUGGUUGGAAUGGGUGUGUCACUGUGGGUGUGGGUCUAAGAUCCUCACCCUAGUUGCCUGGAAGUCAGUCUUCCACUAGCAGCCUUUGGAUGAAGACAUAGAACUCUCAGCUCCUCCUGUGCCAUGCUUGCCUGGACACUACCAUCCUCUCACCUUGAUGAUAAUGGACUCAACCUCUGAACCUUC
rnacentral:lncRNA from 1 species